UCUAUUUGAAGGUAAAAAUAGUCUAGCCUGCUCACUGAAAAUUAAAGAGCCGCGGUAUAUUGACCGUGCAAAGGUAGCAUAAUCAUUAGUUUUUUAAUUGGAAACUUGUAUGAAUGGUUGGACAAAAGAGAAGCUGUCUAUAUAGUAAAUAUUGAAUUUAACUUUUAAGUGAAAAGGCUUAAAUAAUUUAAGGGGACGAUAAGACCCUAUAAAACUUUAUAUUGUAAUUAAACUUAAUUGAAUUUUUAAAAGUUUAGUUUAGUGUAGUAUUUUAUUGGGGCGAUAGAGGUAUAAAUUUUUAUUAACUGCUUAAAAGUUUAAACAAUAAUAUUUGGAUGAAUUGUAAUUGAUCCUUUAUAGAGAAUAAAAGACUAAGUUACUUUAGGGAUAACAGCGUAAUUUCUUUUGAGAGCUCAUAUCGAAAAAGAAGAUUGCGACCUCGAUGUUGAAUUAAAAUAUCUGUUUAGGGCAGC
rnacentral:rRNA from 12 species